GCUUCAUCCAGCCCCAAGCACCCCAGGGGACUGUGUAUUUCAGCUCGAAAAUUCCGGUGACCGUUGUUGACAGUGGAUACAGCAAAAUUGAAAUGCUCGAUCCAGACCGAUAUUUUGCUGGGCACAACCUUCAAGAAAUAGAAGCAAUGGUGUUAUUUCAAAUGACAUCAUGACUGCCUUAGAUUAAAACUUGAAGGAGGUGACAUUCCCAGAAAAGUAGGAUUGUCAAGUUUUAUCAUUUUUGUUGUUCACCAUACCAUCCCAUGUUGGGUUGCCCCCCAGUCCAGAUCAACAGUUUGUUGAGGAAAAGCUUGGAAUUCAGUUGAUGCCUAUUCUUGCUGUGAAGAGGAGCAAUCUGAACUGAAGGGGAGAACAGACUCCAAACAAGAGUAGAUGUGAUGACACCAAGAAAGGUAUUAGCUGAUGGGUAUAGUAUAUGGGACUAAUAAACUCAAGAUGAAUCAUAAUUUGGUAUGUAAAUGCUAAGUAUGAGGUUGUGUCAGUUUCUCAUUUGGCUUCAGAUAUGGCAUUUUCUCACGUCAUUCAUUUUUCUGAAAUGGUUUAUUGUCUCAGUUGAUAAAUGCUACAUUUGUACAUACAUUGAAGAAUAUUUGUGAUACUCAUGAAAAUGUGUAUG